rnacentral:rRNA from 1 species
CCUACGGGAGGCAGCAGUAGGGAAUAUUGCACAAUGGGCGAAAGCCUGAUGCAGCAACGCCGCGUGAGUGAAGAAGGAAUUCGUUAUGUAAAGCUCUAUCAUCAGGGAAGAAAAUGACGGUAACUGAGUAAGAAUCCCCUGCUAAAUACGUGCCAGCAGCCGCGGUAAGACGUAGGGGGCAAGCGUUAGCCGGAUUUACUGGGGGUAAAGGGAGCGGAGGCGGCAGUGCAAGUCUGGAGUGAAGGGCGGUGGCUCAACCGGCGGACUGCACUGGAAACUGUACGGCUGGAGUGCAGGAGAGGGGAGUGGAAGUCCGAGUGUAGCGGUGAAAUGCGUAGAUAUUUGGAGGAACACCAGUGGCGAAGGCGGCUUACUGGACUGUAACUGACGUUGAGGCUCGAAAGCGUGGGGAGCAAACAGGAUUAGAUACCCGAGUAGUC